rnacentral:rRNA from 1 species
CCUACGGGAGGCAGCAGUGAGGAAUAUUGGUCAAUGGACGAGAGUCUGAACCAGCCAAGCAGCGUGAAGGAUGACUGCCCUAUGGGUUGUAAACUUCUUUUAUAUGGGAAUAAAACGUUCCACGUGUGGGAUUUUGUAUGUACCAUAUGAAUAAGGAUCGGCUAACUCCGUGCCAGCAGCCGCGGUAAUACGGAGGAUCCGAGCGUUAUCCGGAUUUAUUGGGUUUAAAGGGGGCGUAGGUGGAUUGUUAAGUCAGUGGUGAAAGUUUGCGGCUCAACCGUAAAAUUGCAGUUGAAACUGGCAGUCAUGAGUAAAGUAGAGGUGGGCGGAAUUCGUGGUGUAGCGGGAAAUGCUUAGAUAUCACGAAGAACUCCGAUUGCGAAGGCAGUUCACUGGACUGCAACUGACACUGAGGCUCGAAAGUGUGGGUAUCAAACAGGAUUAGAUACCCCUGUAGUC